rnacentral:rRNA from 1 species
GCAGUAGCCGCGGUAACACGAAGGGUGCAAGCGUUACUCGGAAUUACUGGGCGUAAAGCGUGCGUAGGUGGUGGUUUAAGUCCGUUGUGAAAGCCCUGGGCUCAACCUGGGAAUUGCAGUGGAUACUGGGUCACUAGAGUGUGGUAGAGGAUAGUGGAAUUUCCGGUGUAGCAGUGAAAUGCGUAGAGAUCGGAAGGAACAUCUGUGGCGAAGGCGACUAUCUGGGCCAACACUGACACUGAGGCACGAAAGCGUGGGGAGCAAACAGGAUUAGAUACCCCAGUAGUCCCUGUCUCUUAUAC